rnacentral:rRNA from 1 species
GACGAACGCUGGCGGCGUGCUUAACACAUGCAAGUCGAACGGAAAGGCCCUGCUUUUGUGGGGUGCUCGAGUGGCGAACGGGUGAGUAACACGUGAGUAACCUGCCCUUGACUUUGGGAUAACUUCAGGAAACUGGGGCUAAUACCGUAUAGGAGCUCCUGCUGCAUGGUGGGGGUUGGAAAGUUUCGGCGGUUGGGGAUGGACUCGCGGCUUAUCAGCUUGUUGGUUGGGUAGUGGCUUACCCAGGCUUUGACGGGUAGCCGGCCUGUGAGGGUGACCGGCCACAUUGGGACUGAGAUACGGCCCAGACUCCUACGGGAGGCAGCAGUGGGGAAUAUUGCACAAUGGGCGGAAGCCUGAUGCAGCAACGCCGCGUGCGGGAUGACGGCCUUCGGGUUGUAAACCGCUUUCGCCUGUGACGAAGCGUGAGUGACGGUAAUGGGUAAAGAAGCACCGGCUAACUACGUG